rnacentral:rRNA from 1 species
AGAGUUUGAUCCUGGCUCAGAUUGAACGCUGGCGGCAGGCUUAACACAUGCAAGUCGAGCGGGGAAGGGUAGCUUGCUACAUUUCCUAGCGGCGGACGGGUGAGUAAUGCUUAGGAAUCUGCCUAUUAGUGGGGGACAACAUUCCGAAAGGAAUGCUAAUACCGCAUACGCCCUACGGGGGAAAGCAGGGGAUCUUCGGACCUUGCGCUAAUAGAUGAGCCUAAGUCAGAUUAGCUAGUUGGUGGGUAAAGGCCUACCAAGGCGACGAUCUGUAGCGGGUCUGAGAGGAUGAUCCGCCACACUGGGACUGAGACACGGCCCAGACUCCUACGGGAGGCAGCAGUGGGGAAUAUUGGACAGUGGGCGAAAGCCUGAUCCAGCCAUGCCGCGUGUGUGAAGAAGGCCUUUUGGUUGUAAAGCACUUUAAGCGAGGAGGAGGCUACUUAGAUUAAUACUCUAGGAUAGUGGACGUUACUCGCAGAAUAAGCACCGGCUAACUCUGUGCCAGCAGCCGCGGUAAUACAGAGGGUGCGAGCGUUAAUCGGAUUUACUGGGCGUAAAGCGUGCGUAGGCGGCUUUUUAAGUCGGAUGUGAAAUCCCUGAGCUUAACUUAGGAAUUGCAUUCGAUACUGGGAAGCUAGAGUAUGGGAGAGGAUGGUAGAAUUCCAGGUGUAGCGGUGAAAUGCGUAGAGAUCUGGAGGAAUACCGAUGGCGAAGGCAGCCAUCUGGCCUAAUACUGACGCUGAGGUACGAAAGCAUGGGGAGCAAACAGGAUUAGAUACCCU